rnacentral:rRNA from 1 species
GACGAACGCUGGCGGCGUGCUUAACACAUGCCAGUCGAACGGAAAGGUCCUUUCGGGGGUACUCGAGUGGUGACCGGGGGCGUAACAGGUGGGUGUUCAGCCCUGCCCUUUGGGAUAAGCCUGGGAACCUGGGUCUAAUACCGGAUAGGACUAAGCGAUGCAUGUCGUGUGGUGGAAAGCUUUUGCGGUGUGGGAUGGGACCGCGGCCUAUCAGCUCGUUGGUGGGGUGAUGGCCUACCAAGGCGACGUCGGAUAGCCGGCCUGGGAGGGUGUCCGGCCACACUGGGACUGAGAUACGGCCCAGACUGCUACGGGAGGCAACAGUGGGGAAUAUUGCACAAUGGGCGCAAGCCUGAUGCAGCGACGCCGCGUGGGGGAUGACGGCCUUCGGGUUGUAAACCACUUUCAGCACAGACGAAGCGUAAGUGACGGUAUGUGCAGAAGAAGCACCGGCCAACUACGUG